UUAAAAUCUUACCUUAACCACGUAAUUCCAAAUGUUAUUUGAGUGUUCCAGCUAUUGAAAAAGCCCUUGAUUCCGUAAAGAUUAGUUUUAGAAAACAACUCUAAAGGUAGAAACAUAUUACUGAAUUAAACAAUUAAUUCUCUUUUUCUGGCUAUUGCGAAUUUUGACUUCAUGAAGCUGAUGCAGAUUUAAACCCUCCUUAUAAUGGUUCUACAAAACUUAUAUGUCAAACUGAAAGAUUGUUGGAGAAAAAAGAGGAAAAACUUUGCAUUAAAGUGCUGCAAACUUUUAAAGAAAUGAUGCCAUUAGACCCAGACUAU